GACGAACGCUGGCGGCGUGCUUAACACAUGCAAGUCGAACGAAGUGGCGAACGGGUGAGUAACGCGUAAUCAACCUGCCCUUCAGAGGGGGACCACAGUGGGAAACGACUGCUAAUACCGCAUACUGAAGGAGGGGAUUGCGUCUGAUUAGCUAGGUGGAGGGGUAACGGCCCACAAAGGCGAUGAUCAGUAGCGUGUCUGAGAGGAGGACCGGCCAAAUUGGGACUGAGACACGGCACAGACUCCUACGGGAGGCAGCAGUGGGGAAUCUCCCGCAAUGGGAGAAAGUCUGACGGAGCAACGCCGCGGAGGUGAUGACGGCCUUCGGGUUGUAAAGCAUUUUGGGCAGGAAACGGUACCUGAAGAAUAAGCACCGGCUAACUACGUGCCAGCAGCCGCGGUAAUAC
rnacentral:rRNA from 1 species